AAGGCAAAGCCAUAUAAAACGGCAACGGCCAAGGAAAAACGACACCAAAAUUACCCACUUCCCGCCGGAAUCAAACCCAGACGCCCGCUCAACCCUUAGAGGUGAUCUCUUUCUCCGUUCUCCUCUUCAGUCUUCUCGCUCUGGGUAGAGCUUUUGGAGAUCAAGCAUCAACCCCAUCACCAGCUGCAAGCAGAAAAUUGCAGGGAGAUUAUGAAAAUUGCAUAAUGCAUAAAGGAGCUUGUGCAACGUCUAACCACAAAAUUCCGAUGAAAGGGAAUUAUAUAGAUACCUGAUUUAUGGGUGAAGAAGCAUUACAUGUUGGCAGGUCCAUGACAUCCCUGAAGGUCACGAUCUUCUUCCUAAGCGCCAUCGUCAGAGCAGAAUUUCCUGCAACUCCAUAAGAGUCGUCUGCUGGUGUGCUUCUGGUGACAUUCUGUUUCGAGGGAAGACUCUUGGGACGGUUAGAGCCUUUCGUUCCCUGCAACCAAAGGUUCAACAAUAUAUUUUUGAGAAGAAAGAAGCGUAUGUCGUCCAAGUCAAAGAUCAUACGUACCUUGCGUCGAGAAGGAGGCUUCCAACGAAACAAUGGACCAAAGCAGCUCAUGGUCAUGGCUUGAACUUGCAAUGAGUUGUACUAGAUGAGGACGACGACAACGUUAAGAAUGUUUUUGAAUGAUCAAACAGGUGGGUGUUUGGCAUUACUGGUCAAACACCCUUAAGUCUUAAGUUUGUUUUGAAAAGGAACUCAAAGUUCUGUUUUACCAGAAUGAUGAGCAAGCUGGAGAAUUGUUCAAACAGGACUGAAUCCAAGGUCCAAAAUUCAACAAAAGAAUGAUAAAUAAAAAGGUGUAAUACCAAUGUUUACGUGCUAGGCACUCAAUUGGGUUUAGGGUUUGAAUGUACAGGGUUUAAUGUACAACCGGUUCUGGCGUUUUGCUUUGGAACUUUCUCUUGAAGAGACAAGCCAAGGUGAAAGUGAAUCACCAAAUGGCUUUUAUUAGGGAGGAUCAUCCUCAUCCUGCGGUUGACAGUAAAUUUGUUAAGGUAAUUUUUAUCUCUCUUUUUUUUUUUUUU